rnacentral:lncRNA from 10 species
ACUGCAACCUCUACUACCCGGAUUCAAGUGAUUCUCCUGCCUCAGCCUCCCGAGUAGCUGGGGUUACAGGCGCCUGCCACCGGGAUUACAGGGCCCUGCCACCGUGCCCAGUGAAUUUUUUGUAUUUUUAGUAGAGACGGGCUUUCACCAUCUUGGCCAGGCUGGUCUUGAACUCCUGACCUUGUGAUCCACCUGCCUCAGCCUCCCAAAGUGCUGGGAUUACAGGUGUGAGCCACCGUGCCCGGCCUUUUCUUUCAACAUUUAACAAAUAAGUUGGCUUUUUUGGAAGUAUGUUGUUGUCAUUUAGUGACACAUCUCUAAAUAUUUACAAUUUUUGUUGAAAUGUUAGGCAGGGAAGAAGAACCACAUUGUUCCACAGGGAAGAAGAACCACAGAGUUUCAUGUGCUGGAGUAGAAAGAAGGUGUAUGAGUUCCACAAUGGGACAGGGUUGGGAACUUAAGGCAAUGUACUGGAGUAGUUCCCUGUUGGGUUUAUUUUCUUUAACCUGUCUUUGUGUCAAAAUGAGAUUUCACGUUCCUCUUAAAACAUGCCGUUUGAAUACUGUGUUUUUGGCAUUGUCCAAGGAAAACUGAAAACUUGUAGCAUGAAUGUUUUUUUUUUCACUUAAAAUCUUGUGACCA